AGAAUUGAACGUAGGAAAACUCCCACACUCUUCCCUUCACUCACGAACGAUGGCGGCCCCCCUCACCAGAAACAACGGUGUUCAGAAGACUCCCUCCGGUGAAGCUCUCGUUCUCCUUGUCUUGCCAACUCACUCUCUUCGUUCCCGUCGCCUCUGAUCGGAGAUUUUCCCCGCCUCCACGAACUCGAUGUCUCUCCUUCCCUCUCUUCUCUCUCAGUCUCAAUCUCUUCGAUUCAGCAAUGAACGAACAAUGAAAUCGAAAGAAACGCUUAGAGAUACUUGCCGACUGGAAAAAGUUUCUGGUGCUUCUCCGAUUGCGAUCGCAAAGACGAGAAAACCAGAGACUGUCUUUUGGAGUAUUCAGAAGAAUGAAGAUGGAAGUUGAUUCGGUUGAUUGAAGAUGAAGGUUCUGAGAUGCGAUGGAGAAUCCAAGGAGAAAGAUAAUUCUGAAUUCAGAGAGGAAGAUUGAAGAUGAUGAAUAUAUAGAGAUGAUGAAGAUUCAGAUUGAAGAUUCUGGUGGUUGAAGAAUUGGUGGUGAAGAUUGAAGAAUCGGAUCAGAGGGAUGUUGAUUCAUGAACGAAGGUUGCAGGGCUGUUUUGUUGUAGCUUGUAUGUGCAAGUGUUUGGUAUGAAACUGAUAUGUUGGUUACAAGUUGCUAGUGUAAAGGCUGUUAUGUAUUUGUUUAUUUUCUAGACGAUGAAUGUGUGUAUUGGACUGUGUUCAAAGUGGCAUUUAUCUUGGAUGAAUUUUGAGCAUUAGAAGCUACAAGGCUUGAAGCUUGAAGUCUGAAGAUGUAUGAUGCAUAAGAGGAUGACUCAUGGAGCUGAAGUGAAAAACUCUGAAGUUCAGAAGAGCAAUGAGUCUAGGAUCAUGGUUGAGUUCGGCCAACUAUUUGUCAAUCAGCUCCUUUUUUUUUUGUAAUUUCUUACUAUAUGGUUUAUUAAUCUCUUUCAGGAUUGAACUUGUAAUUUAGUAAUUGAUGGCCCUUCUUGUAAUGGAUUCCUAUUUGAAAGAUACUGCAACAACUUUGAAUGUGUCUUUAAA